GACUCCAGUGGACUAGUGGUUAGAGCGUCCGCCUUGGAUGCGAGAGGUAGCGGGUUCGAACCCGGCUGAGUCA